rnacentral:tRNA from 1 species
GGCCCGUUCGUCUAGCGGUCAGGACGCCGCCCUCUCAAGGCGGUAGCAGGGGUUCGAUUCCCCUACGGGCUACAA